rnacentral:sRNA from 1 species
UAGCUCAGUUGGUAGAGCAGUUGACUUUUAAUCAAUUGGUCGCAGGUUCGAAUCCUGCACGACCCACCAAUCGUUCUGGUGAACGUGAAGGAUAACGUUGCGUCAGCAACGGCCCGUAGGGCGAGGCGAAGCCGAGUCAUCUUGCACGACCCACCG